CCGAGAAAGUGAAGACAAACGGAAGAAACUGAAAAUCUAAAUCUUGUAAUUUCUGCUGUUUGAAACCAGAGAAACCAAAAUUUCCACUCGACUUAAUCCUAACCAAUAACUUGGUUCAGCUCAAGUUCGUGUUUCCACUUGUUCUCAUUUUCCAAAGAAGCAAAAACCUAGGAUUCAAAAUUUUCUUUUCUUUUUUUUCCUUUCCUCACCAACAGAUGAAGAACGCUCCUAAUUCUUAUUAUUUUUACAAAUUUCAUUUCAAAAACGUCUCUAUAGAUCUUAAUCUAGGUUUAAAUGUUCUAAAUGUUGUAUAGAUCUGGCUAUUAUAGUGGUGUUUUCUUUCUGAUAUAUUAUCCAGACACUUGAGUUUCCAAAGCUUUUCGUUUCAAGUACGAAGACUUGGCAGUUUUACGGUUCUUUAGCUGUCUAUGCGC
rnacentral:lncRNA from 1 species